GAUGGCGUCUGCUACGGUGAGGAAGAUGUUGUCCUCGCCGAUCAGGCUGGGGAAUUUGGAUGCGUGCAGCUUCUCGGCCACCGCCUGUCCGGGAUUUGCCAGAACAAGCUGUGCAAACGGCAAGAGCAGUGCGUUUUAAGCAUGAUGUAUAGAACUCGAUCGUGUGGGCGUUGACAUGGCACAACAGCUUAUAACUUGUAGAAAGAAAAAGAAAAUUUGAAGUCCGUGUAUAGCAAGUUUUCCCUUCACUUCCUUUUGAUCAGUAUUCUCCUCAUAAUGACCAUAGAAAAAAGUUCACGUAGUAGUAUCUGAUUUCCCUUGUUCUUUCUUCUGUUGAUUAACGAUUCGGAUUCGACAAAGUCGAAAAGAGAGAAGAAAGCGGGAAGCAACUUCUGUGAAUCACAAAGAGGCCAAUAAAAUGAGCAUUUUUAUGCAACUUUCUAGGGGUAGGCCAAAUCCUUUUUUUGCCUGAAAUUAAACCUUAUGUUUGAAAACCCAAAAAAACAAACAAAAAGGAGACUUGAUGAGAAAACUAAGACUUGCAAUUAACAAAUCAAGGAAACUUAUUUAGUGGAAAUUAUUUCGAUAAGUGAUCAUUUCAAUGAAUCAGUCUCAAAAUACCCGGUUCAAAAAACCAACAAAAAUUGCUUUCUAGGGUGUCAAAGUUUCUAGCUGUAAAUUAGAAUAAACCAAAUUGAGAAAACCAAACUAUUAACGUUGACAACACUAUCUUACCAUGAAUAACAAAUAUUAAACAUGAACAUGAGAAAACGCAACCCAUUAAAACUUUCUGGAGAAUCCCAACCUAAAUCCCCUUUGGAGAAGUUAUAAAGCCAACUUGACCCCAUCAAUCUAACAAAACCGUGAUUAAUUAUUAAAGCACUAUCAUACAAAACAGCUAACUUACCUACGUUAUCCAAACGAACUCUGUCUUACGUUCGCCGGCAUACAAAAACCUCAGCAUUUGAAGAAGAAAAAAAUUUAGCCGUUAAUUAAAGUGAUUAAUUAAUCAAAACCAAACCUGAAAAGACACUGGAGAGAAAGCCGGCGACCCGAUUGAAUCGGAGAAGAGGGAGGGGGCCGGAAUCCCAUCCAGGUUCAAUGAAUCAGAAAACGAUGCCGAGAAAGGAAAAUAUAUACAUAUAUAUAUUAUGUAUUCUCGAGUGAAACCAUGCAUGCGACGAAUAAGCGCUGCUUGGCUGGAGGGAAAGUGUGGGAGGGUUUUCCCGGAAUAGGAGAACACAUUUCUAGGAUCCGAAGAGAAAAUCUGGGAGGCAGUAAUCAGAGCGGCGGGCUUGCGGCUGUGGUCCGUGGAAUUUUCCGACCACGUGCUCUGAAUGCAGGACGGGAAGGGGACGGUGUUGACGGAACUGACGGCCACGUGUCAUCUGUGGUAAGUCAAGUGCCGGGGUCGGUCCAUCCAAAAA